UUCCCUGUGGCUCAGUUGGUAGAGCAUGGUGUUUGCAACGCCAGGGUUGUGGGUUCGAUUUCCACGGGGAAU
rnacentral:tRNA from 1 species